UCUCUUCCUUCUCAAGACUGCCGACCAGCUCUCUCUCUCUCUCUUAAGCUCCAUUGUUCUUCAUUUUACUUCACAAAUCCUACUCAAACCACCACCAAAACAUCUCCAAAUUCAACCAAACUUGCACCAUACUUAGCUUAACACUAGGAGAUCAUUUUGAGCUGCAAAAAGGGUGCUGGAUAUCACGGUUUCUUGGAGCAUUUCAAGGGCCAAAAAUUCUGAUCCAGUACAUUAAGAAGGUGCACACGAAGACCUUCAAGAGGAUCUUACAGUGGACACUUAAACCUCCAGAAAUAAUUCUUAUUGAAUUGCUCGGACCGAAUUUCGGAGAAGUAUGGAGAAACCCUUCGUUGUUCUUUUGUUUAGAAUUUCUGCUAUAUUUUGGCUAUGCCCUGGUUUGGGUUGUACUUUUGGAAUUGAAAUGUAAAAAAAUUUGGGCCCUGGCGUGUAUUUAGAAUUUAAGUCGUAUUAUGAUUACCCGAUGUACUGGUUACACGUUAAGUGACUUGUUAAGUUUGAACGCUUCCGCAUUAUUUGUAUUCAUGUUGCUCUCUUCGAUAUGUUCGGUUUGGUUUUAAGUUGAAUGGAAUUGCUUGAGUCCUGGCGAGAGUUGGGCAGGUGUCCCGCGAAUACCCUUUGGUUCGCCUUAGGGAGAUGUGGAGGCGUCAUAGCUUCUACCAAAUACCAAAUACCAACAUUUGAACAAUGGGAAGAAUUUGAUUCAGAUUUUACACAGGUUUGUACUUACUAUUCUGACUUUGAAUGUCCUAAUUUGACACCAUUUUCUUUCUUCUUUUUUUUUUGUUUUUGUUUUUGCAUCUUUUCAAUUGUCCGAUUGGAUCUUUUCAGUUUCAACAACAUGAUUUUGAUUUGUCUACCUCUUUAUAACGUUGAUUUGUCUAAAUAUCAUCAAGUGAAAUUUGCAGUUACCAAAUACAGAGUGCUUCAACUCACAUAGAUUAUUAUUU